rnacentral:rRNA from 1 species
AACUUAUAUAGCCGCAGAUUUCUGUGCUAAGGUAGCAUAAUCAAUAGUCUAUUAAUUAUAGAAUAGAAUGAAUGGCCUCACGUGUUUUAUCCUGUCUCAUUAACAACACAGCAAACCUAAACUUAAAGUAAAAAUUCUUUACACCACCGAAAGACGACAAGACCCUAAUAAACUUGACUUAUGUUUAACUGGGGCGGUUAAAAAACAAAAUCUUAUCAACCCACUAACAAAACCCCCUAAAAAUUAAUUAAAGUUACUAUAGGGAUAACAGCAUAAUAUUAAUUUGAAGAUCUUAUUUAAAUAAAUCUUUAUGACCUCGAUGUUGAAUUAAAUACCUAUUUUAAGCAAAAAUAAAAAAAGUAAGUCUGUUCGACUUUUAAAAAUUUACAUGAUUUGAGUUCAGACCGGCUUCAGCCAGGUCGGAUUCUAUCUUCGCUAAUUAAAUAAUAGUACGAAAGGACCCCGCUUAAUUUUUACCUUUUAGCAAACUACUGCCUUAGACUUAGAAUCUAAACACCCUACUCAUUAUCUUAACUAAUACAACAAUCACAAUUAUUUCAAUUCUAACAAGAGUAACCUUCUACACCAUACUAGAACGAAAACUUCUAAGCUACAUUCAAAUUCGUAAAGGCCCCAACAAAGUAGGAAUGUCCGGACUUCUCCAACCAAUUAGCGACGCUCUCAAACUAUUUAACAAGUCCCUUAUAUUCCCCCUCAAUUCAAAUCCCUCUCUACUUUUUCUUACCCCCCUCCUCAGUCUUUUUCUCAGACUACUAAUUUGACCUUGUCUCCCCCUGUCCCAAUUCAACAUUAUAGACAGCUCUCUCAAUUCUCUAAUUAUUAUCUUAAUCUCCAGACUAACCGUAUACACGAUCAUAAUAAUCGGCUGA